rnacentral:lncRNA from 1 species
UAGAUUGUUAAUACGAACAUAUGAAUGUUCAUUAAAACUAUUAAAUUUAUACAUUCAGAAAAAUAUACAUAUUUGAUAUCUGAAUAUAACAAGAUGAAACAAUGAAAUGCCAUCAAAAUUGAUACAUCAAGUUAUAAAUUCAUAAAUACAACUUGUACAUUCAUCAAAACAACCAUUUAAAAUUCUCUAAACACAACACGUCGUCUUUAUUUGGUACUCCUGCAACAUGGAAAGAAACAUAAAAACUUGUUAAUAUAAACUCAUUAGGUUUGUAAGUUUUAUCGGUACAAAUGUAGGAAUUCUUCAAGAAUAUAAAGGGUAUGAAGAACUAAAAUACACGAACGUUUUAACGAGUUCGCAUGUUUGUAUGGGCAAAACAUACGAACUUAUCAAUAUAAUCAUGCGUUCGUAUCUGUAAACAUAUAUAACACAUGCAAAAGUAUGAACUAUCUAUAUGUUCGUGUUUUAUCAGUACUUUCUUGUGGAUUCAUCAAGAACACAAGAGACAUGAAGAACACGAAGAACCCAUAAGAUAUAUAUAAACAAACUCACAAAUAUCUAUAGGUUCGUGAAAACAAACGCACCAUCAACACCUACGUUCGUUCCAUCGUGAACACAACGUCCGUAUCGAUAAGUGAAAACAAAUGAAUUACCAUGUCAUGCAUUCUUUUAGGUGACGUGAACAAAACAUUUGUAUGAGACAGUGAAACAAACGUACCGUCCCGACCUGUGUUCAUUUUGACGUGAACAAAACAAAUGCUUGUAUCAGAUAUAAAAAACCCAAAAAAAUUAACAAAGAAUAUAAUGAAGAACAUAAAAAAUCCAGAACAAUCCAAUCCACAAGAACGCGAAGAGCACGAAGAACAAGAGGUUAAAAGAGAGCUCAUCUACCUUUCCGAAAUUUGUGUUUCUUCGUGC